rnacentral:rRNA from 1 species
GACAGAGGGUGCAAACGUUGCUCGGAAUCACUGGGCGUAAAGGGCGUGUAGGCGGGCAGGUAAGUCGGGCGUGAAAUGCCGGGGCUCAACCCCGGGACUGCGUCCGAUACUCCCGAGCUGGAGGCAGGUAGGGGAGAUCGGAAUUCCUGGUGUAGCGGUGAAAUGCGCAGAUAUCAGGAGGAACACCGGUGGCGAAGGCGGAUCUCUGGGCCUUGCCUGACGCUGAGGCGCGAAAGCUAGGGGAGCGAACAGG